rnacentral:lncRNA from 1 species
UCCUUCCCCAAAACAGUUUUAAAUAUUUGAAUUAGGUGCUAUAAUUUAAGAACUAGUCUAAUUGAAUCCCUAAAAAGUUAAAGAGUCUUCAUAAGGCCGGGCGCGGUGGCUCAUGCCUGUAAUCCCAGCACUUUGGGAGGCCAAGGUGAGCGGAUCGCCUGAGGUCGGGAGUUCGAGACCAGCCUGGCCAGCAUUGAAACAAAGCAGGAACCAUAAAACAGCAUAAGAAAAUGGAUAUAAUAACCGCCAGAGUGGUUUUCAAACUGUUUUUUUUUAAAAUUUUUUAAUUCCAUAGGUUAUUGGGGAACAGGUGUUGUUUAGUUACAUGUGUAAGUUCUUUGGUGGUGGUUUGUGAGAUUUUGGUGCACCCAUCACCCGAGCAGUAUACACUGCACCCAAUUUGUGGUAUUUUUAUCCCUUGCCCCCUUUCCCCCUUAGUCCCCAAAGACGAUUGUGUCUUUCUUAUGCCUUUGCAUCCUCAUAGCUUAGCUCCCACAUGUGAGUGACAACAUACAAUGUCUGGUUUUCCAUUCCUGAGUUAC